rnacentral:rRNA from 1 species
UACGAAGGGGGCUAGCGUUGCUCGGAAUCACUGGGCGUAAAGCGCACGUAGGCGGCUGUGUCAGUCAGGGGUGAAAUCCCGGAGCUCAACUUCGGAACUGCCCUUGAUACAGCACGUCUUGAGUCCGGAAGAGGUGGGUGGAAUUCCUAGUGUAGAGGUGAAAUUCGUAGAUAUUAGGAAGAACACCGGUGGCGAAGGCGGCCCACUGGUCCGGUACUGACGCUGAGGUGCGAAAGCGUGGGGAGCAAACAGG